GCCACACGAGGAGCCUUAUGGAGCCACCUCACUCCUGCACGAGUUAAGCAUUCCUGCGCGUACGCAGAAGGUGGCAGUCCAAUUCAGGCAGCUGGACACGGCCCGCGCAUGUCAACAGAUAGAGCUUUGUUUCAACAGAUUCCUAGAUUUCCAAAGGAAAGUUAUUAUCGAGGUGAUGCAAAGGACUCAUCACUGUGCACAGCUCCAGCCAAGAGCCUGAAGGGCACCAAAACAGACGUGCCCCUGGAGGCUGCUACUACACAGAACAACUGGCAUCUUUGUUACAUGGCUGGAGGCACUGAGCCUGCUGCUUCAACUGCCAGAGCUACUAGAUCACUGCCAGUGGAGCUACAGCCUGUUCAGCUGUUACAGAAGGAGCUACUGGGCCUGGAUCACACAAGGAAAAAACCCUGCUGUGAGAGCUGCCAUCAGAAGAGGCAAAAGUCACAGCUGAAGUACCUGGUGAAUUUAGUGACACGGGACGAUUCCUAGCAACUGGGACGCCACAAAAAUGAGAUGGGAGAAUGCUUUCUGGAUGGUUGCCUGUUUACUGUUUGCAUCUCUACCCAGAGGUCAGUUGGACACAACGUGCCAUGCAUUUGUUGGAGAAACUGUCAUUUUGCCUUGUACCAUCACCUCUCCUGGAGAGCUGGAUGUUUCCGAUUCAAAGCUCUACUGGCAGAUAGAGUCUAUUUUAGUGCAUUUUUUUCACAAUGGGGAAGAUUCACUGAGGUACCAGGAUGAAAAUUAUCGUGGCAGAACCAGUCUUUUUUUGGAUGAGGUGAAGCAUGGCAACUUUUCCCUACAGCUUUCCAACAUCCGAUUAGAGGAUGCAGCUGUAUAUACUUGCAUCUAUAAACAGGCUAGGGCUCUCUCCAACAAAACACAGAAAUCUAAAAUUAAACUCGAUGUAUCAGGAACUAUUUCUUAUCAUGAAAAGAUAUUUCUUUUGAAAAAAAAAAAGAUUGGGAGAAGGGGAAGUGUUUGAAUUUUGCUAUAAGAGAACAAACUGAACUACACACUUGCAAGCACCGGAAGGUUUCUGUGUUUCUGGGUUUGGGGGCCUUGGAGAUGGACGAAAUAAGAGAAGUCUAACUUUUGCAACAUAAUUCUUUUCAUAAAAAGAAAAAAAAUGUUUCCUAUUGUCAACAUUAUUUUAAGAAAAAUAUAGCCUCAGCUCCCAAUUUUUGUAUUUCCAGCAAUUUCUUUACAAAGAGGGAGGAAGUGAAUCUGUUUUGUAUUAGUCUUGAGCCUGGGAGGCACUUGGAACUUCGGAUGUUAAAGGACCUGCUGAGAACAAGGACACUGCGUGCACAAAUAAUUCCCACACUUUGCCUUCAUUAUAAACAGAUCAGUAGAUAGGUCAUAUUUUAUAUAAAACAGAAAAAGGUUUGUUCAGUUUCACUUCAGUUUGUUUGUUUGCUAGGUUGACUUUUUUCGUUAACURUAUUAAAAAGCCUAAUUUUCCUCUUACUUUGGGUUUCUUGGGAGACUCCUUCUGGGUCAAUAGAAACUUAGGUUCUAAGUUAGUUUCUGGGUAAAAAUGAUAGUCUAUUGGCCUGGAAGAGUUCUCAAGAAGAGAGGAAACUUGUUAUAAUCUUACAUUUACCUCAGAGUGUUCCUGAGGACUACCAGAUAUUAACAGGUUCCUUACAUGCCAUUGCAUUAUACUCCUCCUAGAAAGAGGGGAGGAAGGACCCAUACUAGUGACAAGUUAACUGUAGUGACACACUGAAAGGCAUUACCUGAAAGGGCUGAGACACUACAGCAAUAGGAACAGCCCAAGAAGUGGCACAGAAUUACAAGAUUAUACAGCCUCAUCUUCCCAGAGAAGGCAUUUGACCUGAACAGUGAUGGGAGAAGUAUCUCUACUGCUUUAGUCAGGGGUUCGAAAUCUUUUUUCAUCCUCAGCAUUGGUUGCAGAUACCAUCCUUAGCAAGGGUAAAGUCUUUGCUCUGUGCCAGGCUAUGCAGUGGCUUCUGUAGCAG
ensembl:lncRNA